CCUACGGGGGGCAGCAGUGGGGAAUAUUGGGCAAUGGGCGCAAGCCUGACCCAGCAACGCCGCGGGAAGGAAGAAGGCUUGCGGGUUGUAAACUUCUGUUAAGAGGGAAGAGCAGAAGACGGUACCUCUUGAAUAAGCCACGGCUAACUACGUGCCAGCAGCCGCGGUAAUACGUAGGUGGCAAGCGGUGUGCGGAUUUACGGGGUGUAAAGGGCGUGUAGCCGGGCUGAACAGUCAGAUGUGAAAUCCCGUGGCUCAACCACGGAACUGCAUUUGAAACUGUCGGUCUUGAGUAUCGGAGCGGCAGGCGGACUUCCUCGUGUCGCGGUGAAAUGCGUAGAUCUUAG
rnacentral:rRNA from 1 species